GCCGGGCAUGGUGGUGCAUGCCUGUAGUCCCAGCUACUCAGGAGGCCGAGGCAGGAGAAUCGCUUGAACCCAGGAGACAGAGGUUACAGUGAGCCAAGAUCGCACCACUGCACUCUAGCCUGGGUGAUAGAGCGAGACUCUGUCUCAA
rnacentral:SRP_RNA from 1 species